GAUGAACGCUGGCGGCGUGCCUAAUACAUGCAAGUCGAGCGAACGGACGAGAAGCUUGCUUCUCUGAUGUUAGCGGCGGACGGGUGAGUAACACGUGGAUAACCUGCCUAUAAGACUGGGAUAACUUCGGGAAACCGGAGCUAAUACCGGAUAAUAUUUUGAACCGCAUGGUUCAAAAGUGAAAGACGGUCUUGCUGUCACUUAUAGAUGGAUCCGCGCUGCAUUAGCUAGUUGGUAAGGUAACGGCUUACCAAGGCAACGAUGCAUAGCCGACCUGAGAGGGUGAUCGGCCACACGGGAACUGAGACACGGUCCAGACUCCUACGGGAGGCAGCAGUAGGGAAUCUUCCGCAAUGGGCGAAAGCCUGACGGAGCAACGCCGCGUGAGUGAUGAAGGUCUUCGGAUCGUAAAACUCUAUUAUUAGGGAAGAACAUAUGUGUAAGUAACUGUGCACAUCUUGACGGUACCUAAUCAGAAAGCCACGGCUAACUACGUG
rnacentral:rRNA from 1 species